ACAUGAGUAACCUGCCCUUGACUUUGGGAUAACUUCAGGAAACUGGGGCUAAUACCGGAUAGGAGCUCCUGCUGCAUGGUGGGGGUUGGAAAGUUUCGGCGGUUGGGGAUGGACUCGCGGCUUAUCAGCUUGUUGGUGGGGUAGUGGCUUACCAAGGCUUUGACGGGUAGCCGGCCUGAGAGGGUGACCGGCCACAUUGGGACUGAGAUACGGCCCAG
rnacentral:rRNA from 1 species